rnacentral:misc_RNA from 1 species
UGGCUCUCGCAUCGAUGAAGAACGCAGCGAAAUGCGAUAAGUAAUGUGAAUUGCGGAAUUCAGUGAAUCAUCGAAUCUUUGAACGCACCUUGCGCCCUUUGGCUAUUCCGAAGGGCAUGCCUGUUUGAGUAUCAUGAACACCUGAACGUUUGAUCUCAAAUCAGGUAGGACUACCCGCUGA